CGCAUCUGUGCAUGCAGCAUAUCAAUAAGCGGAGGAAAAGAAACUAACAAGGAUUCCCUUAGUAACGGCGAGUGAAGCGGGAAGAGCUCAAAUUUGAAUCUUCAAGGUUUUACCUUGACGAAUUGUAGUUUAAAGAAGUGUUUUCUGUUGAAGUUUUGGUAAAAGUUCUUUGGAAUAGGACAUCAUAGAGGGUGAGAAUCCCGUAUUUGACCAUUAUUUUCAGCUGUGUGAUACACUUUCAAAGAGUCGGAUUGUUUGGGAAUGCAGUCCAAAAUGGGUGGUAAAUUUCAUCUAAAGCUAAAUAUUGGCGAGAGACCGAUAGCGAACAAGUACCGUGAGGGAAAGAUGAAAAGAACUUUGAAAAGAGAGUUAAACAGUACGUGAAAUUGUCAAAAGGGAAGCGUUUGACACCAGGUGUUGUUUUCUCGAAAAUCAAUUAAAAAGAGUUAGAUUUUGUUGUGUAUUGACCUUAACAGCUUGCAUUUCAAUUUUCUUGCUUUUUUUAAUGCACUUUUCGUUUAACAAGUCAACAUCAGUUUCUUUUGUUGUAAAAAGGUCAUUGGAAGGUGGCUUUCUUUUCGGAGAAAGUGUUUAUAGCCUUUGACUCCUGCAAUCGGAGAGACUGAGGUCUGCAGCGUAGAUCCUUCGGGGUUAGAUACAUUUGUGCUAAGUUAUAGCUCUUUAUAGACAACUUGUUGACUAUGAUUAGUCUUGUAGCUUACUCGCUUAUGCUAUUUUACCUACGCUUAGGAUGUUGACGCGCGUGUGUGCGUG
rnacentral:rRNA from 1 species